rnacentral:RNase_P_RNA from 1 species
GGAGUCGGCCAGGCAGUCGCGUCAUCGCAUUCUCCGGAAUGCCGAUGCCGAGGAAAGUCCGGGCUCCACAGGGCACGGUGCCAGGUAACCCCUGGGCGGCGCGAGCCGACGGAAAGUGCAACAGAAAGAUACCGCCAGCGGUUCUUCGGGGCGCUUGUAGGACGAAAGUCCGACAAAGUGUUCCAACUCGUCGAAAGGCGAGGGGAAUGCGGGCAAGGGUGAAAUGGUGCGGUAAGAGCGCACCGCGAGUCCGGCAACGGACCGGCACGGCAAACCCCACCGGGAGCAAGACCAAAUAGGGAGGCAAUGCCGCGGCCCGCGGUGUCUCCGGGUAGGUUGCUUGAGCGUAUCGGCGACGAUGCGCCUAGAGGAAUGACUGUCCACGACAAAACCCGGCUUAUCGGCCGGCUCCGUCA